GAUGAACGCUGGCGGCGUGCCUAAUACAUGCAAGUCGAGCGAACGGACGAGAAGCUUGCUUCUCUGAUGUUAGCGGCGGACGGGUGGGUAACACGUGGAUAACCUACCUAUAAGACUGGGAUAACUUCGGGAAACCGGAGCUAAUACCGGAUAAUAUUUUGCACCGCAUGGUUCAAAAGUGACAGACGGUCUUGCUGUCACUUAUAGAUGGAUCCGCGCUGCAUUAGCUAGUUGGUAAGGUAACGGCUUACCAAGGCAACGAUGCAUAGCCGACCUGAGAGGGUGAUCGGCCACACUGGAACUGAGACACGGUCCAUACUCCUACGGGAGGCAGCAGUAGGGAAUCUUCCGCAAUGGGCGAAAGCCUGACGGAGCAACGCCGCGUGAGUGAUGAAGGUCUUCGGAUCGUAAAACUCUGUUAUUAGGGAAGAACAUAUGUGUAAGUAACUGUGCACAUCUUGACGGUACCUAAUCAGAAAGCCACGGCUAACUACGUG
rnacentral:rRNA from 1 species